UACGUAGGGGGCUAGCGUUGUCCGGAUUUAUUGGGCGUAAAGAGCGUGUAGGCGGCCAGAUAGGUCUGCUGUGAAAACUCGAGGCUCAACCUCGAGAUGUCGGCGGAAACCAUUUGGCUAGAGUCCGGAAGAGGAAAGUGGAAUUCCUGGUGUAGCGGUGAAAUGCGCAGAUAUCAGGAAGAACACCCGUGGCGAAGGCGGCUUCUGGACGGGUCGACUGACGCUGAGACGACGAAGCGUGGGGAGCGAACAGG
rnacentral:rRNA from 1 species